GAUGAACGCUGGCGGCGUGCCUAAUACAUGCAAGUCGAACGAAACUUCUUUAUCACCGAGUGCUUGCACUCACCGAUAAAGAGUUGAGUGGCGAACGGGUGAGUAACACGUGGGCAACCUGCCCAAAAGAGGGGGAUAACACUUGGAAACAGGUGCUAAUACCGCAUAACCAUAGUUACCGCAUGGUAACUAUGUACAAGGUGGCUAUACUACCGCUUUUGGAUGGGCCCGCGGCGCAUUAGCUAGUUGGUAGGGUAAGGCUUACCAAGGCAAUGAUGCGUAGCCGAAUUGAGAGGUUGAUCGGCCACAUUGGGACUGAGACACGGCCCAAACUCCUACGGGAGGCAGCAGUAGGGAAUCUUCCACAAUGGGCGAAAGCCUGAUGGAGCAACGCCGCGUGGGUGAAGAAGGUCUUCGGAUCGUAAAACCCUGUUGUUAGAGAAGAAAGUGCGUGAGAGUAACUGUUCACGUUUCGACGGUAUCUAACCAGAAAGCCACUGCUAACUACGUG
rnacentral:rRNA from 1 species